rnacentral:rRNA from 1 species
GACGAACGCUGGCGGCGCGCUUAACACAUGCAAGUCGAGCGAGAACCAGAGCUUCGGUUCUGGGGACAGCGGCGAACGGGUGAGUAACACGUGGGUAAUCUGCCCUCGGCACCGGAAUAGCCCGGGGAAACCCGGAUUAAUGCCGGAUGGCCCACCCGCCUUUCGAGGCGGUUGGAAAAGGUAGCUUCGGCCUCCGGCCGAGGAUGAGCCCGCGGCGGAUUAGCUUGUUGGCGGGGUAACGGCCCACCAAGGCGACGUUCCGUAGCUGGUCUGAGAGGACGAUCAGGCACACGGGGCCGGAGACCCCGCCCAGACGCCUACGGGAGGCAGCAGUGGGGAAUCUUGCGCAAUGGGCGAAAGCCUGACGCAGCGACGCCGCGUGCGGGAAGAAGGCCUUCGGGUUGUAAACCGCUUUCAGGAGGGACGAAGCCACUCGGGUGAACAGCCCAGAGGGUGACGGUACCUCCAGAAGAAGCCCCGGCUAACUACGUGCCAGCAGCCGCCGUAACAC